AUUGAACGCUGGCGGCAGGCCUAACACAUGCAAGUCGAGCGAGCGGCGGACGGGUGAGUAAUGUCUGGGAAACUGCCUGAUGGAGGGGGAUAACUACUGGAAAAGGUAGCUAAUACCGCAUACCAUCAGAUGGGCCCAGAUGGGAUUAGCUAGUAGGUGGGGUAACGGCUAACCUAGGCGACGAUCCCAAGCUGGUCUGAGAGGAUGACCAGCAACACUGGAACUGAGCCACGGUCCGACCUCUUACUGGAGGCAGAAGUGGGGACUAUUGCACAAUGGGCGCAAGCCUGAUGCAGCCAUGCCCCGUGUGUGAAGAAGGCCUUCGGGUUUUAAAGCACUUUCAGCGGGGAGGCGUUACCCGCAGAAGAAGCACCGGCUAACUCCGUGCCAGCAGCCGCGGUAAUUC
rnacentral:rRNA from 1 species